rnacentral:rRNA from 1 species
UACGGAGGAUGCAAGCGUUAUCCGGAUUCAUUGGGUUUAAAGGGUGCGCAGGCGGAAUGAUAAGUCAGUGGUGAAAUCCUACGGCUCAACUGUAGAACUGCCAUUGAUACUGUUAUUCUUGAGUACACUUGAAGUGGGCGGAAUGUGUCAUGUAGCGGUGAAAUGCUUAGAUAUGACACAGAACACCGAUCGCGAAGGCAGCUCACUAAAUUGUAACUGACGCUCAUGCACGAAAGCGUGGGGAUCAAACAGG